UGGGGAUUGGCCAAGUGGUAAGGCAGCGGAUUCUGGUUCCGCGAUCGGGGGUUCGAAUCCCUCAUCCCCAGCCA
rnacentral:tRNA from 1 species